rnacentral:rRNA from 1 species
UACGAAGGGUGCAAGCGUUACUCGGAAUUACUGGGCGUAAAGCGUGCGUAGGUGGUGAGUUAAGUCUGAUGUGAAAUCCCCGGGCUCAACCUGGGAAUGGCAUUGGAUACUGGCUCGCUAGAGUGCGGUAGAGGGUGGUGGAAUUCCCGGUGUAGCAGUGAAAUGCGUAGAGAUCGGGAGGAACAUCUGUGGCGAAGGCGGCCACCUGGACCAACACUGACACUAAGGCACGAAAGCGUGGGGAGCAAACAGG